rnacentral:rRNA from 2 species
UACGUAGGGUGCAAGCGUUGUCCGGAAUUAUUGGGCGUAAAGAGCUCGUAGGCGGCUAGUCACGUCGGAUGUGAAAACCCGAGGCUCAACCUCGGGCCUGCAUUCGAUACGGGCUGGCUAGAGUACUGCAGGGGAGACUGGAAUUCCUGGUGUAGCGGUGAAAUGCGCAGAUAUCAGGAGGAACACCGGUGGCGAAGGCGGGUCUCUGGGCAGUAACUGACGCUGAGGAGCGAAAGCGUGGGGAGCAAACAGG